rnacentral:rRNA from 1 species
AAUAGAUACCCAGGGUAGUCCACGCCGUAAACGAUGAGUGCUAAGUGUUAGAGGGUUUCCGCCCUUUAGUGCUGCAGCUAACGCAUUAAGCACUCCGCCUGGGGAGUACGGUCGCAAGACUGAAACUCAAAGGAAUUGACGGGGGCCCGCACAAGCGGUGGAGCAUGUGGUUUAAUUCGAAGCAACGCGAAGAACCUUACCAGGUCUUGACAUCCUCUGACAACUCUAGAGAUAGAGCGUUCCCCUUCGGGGGACAGAGUGACAGGUGGUGCAUGGUUGUCGUCAGCUCGUGUCGUGAGAUGUUGGGUUAAGUCCCGCAACGAGCGCAACCCUUGAUCUUAGUUGCCAGCAUUUAGUUGGGCACUCUAAGGUGACUGCCGGUGACAAACCGGAGGAAGGUGGGGAUGACGUCAAAUCAUCAUGCCCCUUAUGACCUGGGCUACACACGUGCUACAAUGGAUGGUACAAAGGGCUGCAAGACCGCGAGGUCAAGCCAAUCCCAUAAAACCAUUCUCAGUUCGGAUUGUAGG